CAGUAGCAGGCCUUACCAAGUUCCAGUCAGUCACAGAACAUGAAGAUGGUUUCAUUGGAGAUUGGAAAUGAGUAGCAUUUCUAUGAAGAAGAUGUUUACAGCAAAGACCCCGAAAAUGGAGCCAUUGACGAGGAUCAGGACAAGAAAAUUAAAGGAAAGUAUAUUUAAUUUUAGUCUAAUUAUAAUUUUAGUUCUAUUACAGUAGCAGGCCUUACCAAGUUCCAGUCAGUCACAGAACAUGAAGAUGGUUUCAUUGGAGAUUGGAAAUGAGUAGCAUUUCUAUGAAGAAGAUGUUUACAGCAAAGACCCCGAAAAUGGAGCCAUUGACGAGGAUCAGGACAAGAAAAUUAAAGGAAAGUAUAUUUAAUUUUAGUCUAAUUAUAAUUUUAGUUCUAUUACAGUAGCAGGCCUUACCAAGUUCCAGUCAGUCACAGAACAUGAAGAUUGUUUCAUUGGAGAUUGGAAAUGAGUAGCAUAUACUAUGAAGAAGAUGUUUACAGCAAAGACCCCGAAAAUGGAGCCAUUGACGAAGACCAGGACAAGAAAAUUAAAGGAAAGUAUAUUUAAUUUUAGUCUAAUUAUAAUUUUAGUUCUAUUACAGUAGCAGGCCUUACCAAGUUCCAGUCAGUCACAGAACAUGAAGAUUGUUUCAUUGAAGAUUGGAAAUGAGUAGUAUAUACUAUGAAGAAGAUGUUUACAGCAAAGACCCCGAAAAUGGAGCCAUUGGCGAAGACCAGGACAAGAUGCUUAAAGUAGCAGGCCUUACCAAGUUUCAGUCGCAGAAGAUGAAGAUUAUUUCAUUGAAAAUUGGAGAUAAAUAACAUCUCCAAGGAAGAUUAAUUAUUACAUUAAUCUUCACCCAAGUCUGAGGCCAUGACAUGAAAGAAAUAA